AGUGAACGCUGGCGGUAGGCCUAACACAUGCAAGUCGAACGGCAGCACAGUAAGAGCUUGCUCUUACGGGUGGCGAGUGGCGGACGGGUGAGGAAUACAUCGGAAUCUACUUUUUCGUGGGGGAUAACGUAGGGAAACUUACGCUAAUAUCGCAUACGACCUACGGGUGAAAGCAGGGGAUCUUCGGACCUUGCGCGAUUGAAUGAGCCGAUGUCGGAUUAGCUAGUUGGCGGGGUAAAGGCCCACCAAGGCGACGAUUCGUAGCUGGUCUGAGAGGAGGAUACGCCACAUUAGAACGUAAACAGGGUCAAGACUCCUACGGGAGGGAGCAGUGGGGAAUAUUGGACAAUGGGCGCGAGCCUAGUCCAGCCAUACCGCGUGGGUUAAAGAGGCCUUCGGGUUGUAAAGCCCUUUUGUUGGGAAAGAAAAGCAGCAGGUUAAUACCCCGCUGUUCUGACGGUACCCAAAGAAUAAGCACCGGCUAACUUCGUG
rnacentral:rRNA from 1 species